AUUUUUUCUUAUUUUCCUUUUCUCUCUCUCUCUUUUUUCUCCCUCUUUACUAGAGCUUUUCUCUCCUCUAUGAUUUUCGACCACCAUUGCUAGAUGUUGUGCCACCACGGGCUAUCGUGCUCAAACACCGAUCGACCACUAUUGAAGCCUAAUAUUUCACAAUCACUUCCUCUUUAUCUCAUCGUCUCGGAUCUGGGCUCUAAUUUUCAAAGAUCAACCUCUAAUGACGUAUAUCUAAAGCUUAAACCAUAGCUUUUCCUUUAUCGUUUCAGCCUCUUCCACCAUUUGAUUUGACUAAAAUUUAGGUAUGUUAUUUCUUCCAUCCUCGUCUCUCUUUUCACUAUUUGGAUGGCCAAAAACUCGGAUGACUACCACUGACCAUGGUUAUUGCCAACGUUCCUGCCUUUGACGUUGACUUCCACAAUUGCGUCGCCUCCGUCUCUACUAUGUGUUGUCGCCAACACUGCCGAUCGAGCUACUCAAAGUCACUAGAAGCCGUUUCCCUAUUCCUUUUGUCUAUCGAUCCUUAAUGCUAGUACAAUGUCCAACAAUUAUUUGCUAUUGAUUUCUGUUUUGGUUGAAUUGUGGUAUUUAUAGCUAUGAAAUUGGGUGUUUUCAGGCACUAGUAAGCUAACUAGGAAUUGGCUGCUGAUUGUUUGAAAGUUGGGACUGUGUUUUUGGGUUUGUCUGAUCUAUUUAAAUAUUGAUUUUUUAGUUGUGCUUGUUUCUCUUUUUUGGUUUGUUGUCUAAUUUUGGUUACUUGUGAUGAUGAGAUUGCUGGGGUUUUAGUUUAGGUAGGGAUUGAUGUUGAAUGGUUGAUGAUGAUGACCAGAUAAGGGUAGGCUAUCACUGGCUACUACUGGAUAAUCGGCGACACUAGCAGUAUGGCAUAUGAAAGAUUUCUUUGCCAACUUAUUGUUGGAAUGUUUGUGUCCUUGUUGUGAAUUGCAAAGCCUACUUAUAGAUCAGAAGUCCUUCAGAGAUAGGAGUUUAAGAAAGGAU
rnacentral:lncRNA from 1 species